AUACGGAGGGGGCUAGCGUUGUUCGGAAUUACUGGGCGUAAAGCGUGCGUAGGCGGUUUGCUAAGUUGGGCGUGAAAGCCCGGGGCUCAACCCCGGAAUUGCGUUCAAAACUGGCAGACUAGAGGCCGGAAGAGGAGAGCGGAAUUCCCAGUGUAGAGGUGAAAUUCGUAGAUAUUGGGAAGAACACCAGUGGCGAAGGCGGCUCUCUGGCUCGAUACUGACGCUGAGGUGCGAAAACGUGGGGAGCAAACAGGAUUAGAAACCCCGGUAGUCC
rnacentral:rRNA from 1 species